rnacentral:lncRNA from 1 species
UUAACCAUGUGCUAGCAUGGUUCUCUUAGACCCAAUAGGGUUUCAAUAAAUCCUAACUCAAUUAGAAUUUCAUAAGCCCAAUUAACAAAUUCAAGAUUAAAUUCCUUAAUGUGUAACCCCAUAGAUUCUAUUCUAUUUGAUAGUGAGAUAUAUUAUGAUCUCCAUCACAAUAUCAUCGAAAUUUUUUUCGAUGGGUUGAAAUAUUUUCAAUUCUACUCUUCGAGGAUC